UACGUAGGGGGCAAGCGUUGUCCGGAUUUAUUGGGCGUAAAGAGCGUGUAGGCGGUUUGGUAGGUCCGUUGUGAAAACUCGAGGCUCAACCUCGAGACGCCGAUGGAAACCAUCAGACUAGAGUCCGGAAGAGGAGAGUGGAAUUCCUGGUGUAGCGGUGAAAUGCGCAGAUAUCAGGAAGAACACCGGUGGCGAAGGCGGGUCUCUGGGCCGAAAUUGACGCUGAGGAGCGAAAGCGUGGGGAGCAAACAGG
rnacentral:rRNA from 1 species